rnacentral:tRNA from 1 species
AGCCCUGUGGUGUAAUUGGCAACAUAGCACCCUUUGAAGGCGAAGAUUCCAGGUUCGAGUCCUGGCGGGGCUGCCA